rnacentral:rRNA from 1 species
ACCUACGGGACGCAGCAGUGGGGAAUAUUGCACAAUGGGGGGAACCCUGAUGCAGCGACGCUGCGUGGGUGAAGAAGCGCCUCGGCGCGUAAAGCCCUGUCAGCAGGGAAGAAAAUGACGGUACCUGAAGAAGAAGCCCCGGCUAACUACGUGCCAGCAGCCGCGGUAAUACGUAGGGGGCAAGCGUUAUCCGGAUUUACUGGGUGUAAAGGGGGCGCAGACGGCGAUGCAAGCCAGGAGUGAAAGCCCGGCGCCCAACCCCGGGACUGCUCUUGGAACUGCGAGGCUGGAGUGCAGCAGGGGCG